GGGAGAGUGAGUCUAGGUUCUGUUCCUCCCAGGCUGUUAGUGGAAGUUUUCAGAACUGGCCUUUUGAAAAACUUCCCAGAGACAGUCACAAAUGUUCCGUAGUCACUGGGGCUUCCCUUUACGAUGCCGAUGUGGUGAAUGCGUGUGGUGUCGUGUCAGUGUGAUGCACCUGUGUGGUGAGUGUUGUCUGUGUAUCAUUUUCCACAAACAUAGAUUUUGGUUCAUGCCUGAGCUCUCUGACUGAUAACUGUCUUAAGAUUAAAAGGAAACCCUUU
rnacentral:lncRNA from 1 species